GAGGAGGAGGAGGAGGAGUAGGAGAAAAGAGAGAUGGUGGGUGGUGCAAGGGGCGUGAGGAGGAGAAGGAGGAGGAGGAGAGGAGAGAGGUGGUGGGUGGUGUGGGGGUGUGAGGAGAAGGAGCAGGAGGAGCGGAGAGAAGCAACGAGUGGUGGGGUAGGGGGGGUGUGAUGAGGAGAGGAGGGAGGCGGUGGGUAGUGGGGAGGAGUUGUGAGGAGGAUAAUGACUCGUGGCUAAGGCGUCCCGGGGCUGCACGGUGUCCUGGGUGUCAUCCCGCACACAGGGGCAUUAGGUGUCACGCAGCCACCAAGUCGCGAGCCCUUCAACCCUGAGCAUCUUGAGGCACCAGGGAGGCCGCGUCACCCACCUGCGACCCCUGGCGGCACAGUUUUACCCCUUGCCUCCCCCAUCAGCCCCUGCAAGCCCUUCUUUUAUUCCUUUGCUCCUUUGUCCCAUUAACCAGUUAUCCGUCCACUCCCAGGGCGGGCGUCCUUAAAAAAACAAACAAAAACAAAUGCUUCGAAACUCUGAAACCUGCGCACCCACGCCCACGCCACACGCACACACGAACAAUGGGAGUAGAAAGUGUUGGUACUUGUAUUGCACGCCAGCAAGCACGCAGCCCAACACUCCCCACACAUUACAUGAAAGUUGGUGGCUGGAAGUAAAAACUGGGUGGGUUUUAUUAAAUGCGUGGUGCACGUUGCCUCCCGCUCAGCCUGGCGCCGGGCUGCUGGCGAGGCUUAACUGCCGCUACUCCUGAACAGUAUUUAUUUAAUUCUUACCAUUGGAAAGCAUUAUUACCAGAGUUUGUAUAAAUGCAAUUUUCAGAGAUCGCUGCAGCCAGCUGAGAAAGCACAGGGGAAGGCAGCUCCGCCUCCUAACCCAGCAAGUGCACUGAGGGUCUGCUGGUCUGGUCCUCAGCGGUCACUCUGCAGCGGUUAUUCAGGUGUCGCUCCUCAGGUUCACGAUGCCUCGCUGAAUGGUCUGCCAGCCGAGUACUGCUGCUCGUCACAUCGUAAUUACCAUGGUAACCUUUCACGUGCCCAGUCGCCAGCUCACUUACGGAUGCAGCAGACCCUCACGCUGCCACUGCUCCCCACAACACUGUUCUCACGCGUGCUGAGGGAACGUAAGUUGUAAGCUGGUCCACACCUGUCCUACGUAAUGAGUCCAAGAGUGAAUCACCUGAAGCUGCUGGUAAGGUGACCAGGUGUUGGUGGCAACACUGACCCGGAUGAGCCACAGUCCAGGUGAACCCAUAUACCUGUAAAGGAGGGACACAGUUAAUUUGCAGAAAGGAAUCACGCUUUGAUCACACCUUUGUCUGCCUGGAACCUUUGACAGACUAAGAACAUGUGGGAGCUUCGAGAACCCGCCAGGCCUACACGUGGGAGCUUCGCCUUGCUCCACCACGCAGCUUAGGGCCAGAUUCUGAAACACCUCUGCGCCGCACCUCCACUACAUUCAAAAGCUAUUGUUUGAAGUUAGAAGGUUUUUCAAGGAUGUUUGUCAACGGUUCUAGUGUCAGAUUAACAAGAUUUCCCCUUUUUUUGAAGGAGAAAUACUCUUGAGAACUCGGCUAAUCAUCUCUGGGGCAUUUGACAAUAAUCUUGGUGAGAAAGCAAAGCGUUAAUACGAGCAUUAAAGUAUUUUGCCUUUACUGGAGUGGCGAGAAUAAGACAGGGUUGACAGUUGAGCUGGCCUUGUUAAUGCCACUAGAACACCACUUGUAUCAUUAAGACCAGAAGGCAAGACGAACUAAAGAGGAAGUGUUAAGACGUGUAGAAACAGAGAGGUUUUUAAUGAAAGGUAUACAGAGGUGGCAGCUGCUUUUCUUGGGACGCAUACUGAAAGGUGGGGGGAGUGGAAUGGGAUUGCUUGCUGGAUGAACCUGAAGGAAGAAGGGCCAGAGGAAGACAAAGGCAGUUCUUGGAGACAUUGAUAGAAAACAAAAGCAGGAGAUUGAGUGUGACAUAUCUGGUCAGGAUGGCGGAUAGAAGAGAGGAGUGGGGCUUCGUGGCCGCUGAAGUCACGUGACAAGCUCCUCGAUAAGGGUAAUCUCCAAUGCGCCCUUUUCUCAGCCUUUUUGUUGCCCUUGACCAAAGUCCCUUCUUACUUAAAAAUAAUAAUAAUAAUAAUAAUGCGUCAGGUUGUUAGUUCAGUCAAAAUAAAGCUUUUAAAAGGUUAGACAAAGUUGUGACAAAUAUGGAAGAUGGAAAUACGUAGAUAUGUUUUAUAAAGGAACUAUCACGUGUUGCCCUGAUGACUUCUUGCACGUUCCCUUAUGUUCUUGUAUGUUCUUAUGGUUUUGAAUAAAGUAACAUGAAAUAUGGCAAACAUUUAGCCGUAGACUUAUACAACGAAGAGAUCUGUAGGAGGCACUGAGAGAGAGAGAGAGAGAGAGAGAGAGAGAGAGAGAGAGAGAGAGAGAGAGAGAGAGAGAGAGAGAGAGAGAGAGAGAGAGAGAGAGAGAGAGAGAGAGAGAUUCUGUUUCUAUAUGUGGGUUCGCCUGAAAGUCUAAUAAAUUGUUCCCUGAUCCGAGAACCGCCUUCCCAAACUUUUAUUGAAAUUUGUUGAUAAUCCUUUUGAGAUAUCCUGAAGGCACACAGACAGGCAGACCGACAGACAGACAGACAAAUAUACAGACAGUAAGAUAGACAAAUCAGACAGUUAGGGAGACAGACAGAACAACAGGCAGAUAGGCAGAUAGGCAGACAGGCAGACGGACUGACACACUGAUAGACAGACAGACAGAUAGACAGAUAGACACAGAGUAAGACAAAACAGUCAAACCAAAUAUAGUAUGUGUUUUUUUUGUAUGAUGUAGUCGUGUGUGUGUGUGUGUGUGUGUGCGCAUCAGUUAGAUGAAUAAUUACAUAAACAUCCCAGCUUUUGUUAGAGGAGUAAUCACGUGAGCACAGAACACAGCUUAUUACCAAGAUUUUUUCUCCUCCCGACAAACACAUUGGAUAAAAAAGAUGUUAAUUAAUUUUGAUUAUAUUCCAUGAGUGAAGUAGAUCAAGAAAUAAAUACCUAAAAUGAAUAACUCUCACAUCUUUCCAUCCUUUUAUCUCUCUUUCCCUCGCUGCUCUCCUCCUACUCCUCUUCUCUCUCUUCCUGCCCUCCCGCCUGGCUUUCUCUUCCCUUCCCUCCCUCUAUCUCUUCCUCCCAAGUUCAUUUCCUCCCUCUUA